rnacentral:rRNA from 1 species
GACGAACGCUGGCGGCGUGCUUAACACAUGCAAGUCGAACGGAAAGGCCAUGCCUUCCGCUUAUACUAGAGUCGCACACGUGUGAAUAACACGUGGGUUCUCUGCCGUGUACCUGGGUAUACGUUGGAAAAUCUGGGUCUAAUCCCGGAGAAGCCAACUUUUUGGAUAUUGUUGUGGAAAUCUUUUGGGGUAGGGGCUGAGCGCGCGGCAUAUCAUCUUUGUGGUGGGGUAGUGGCCUACCGAGGCGGCGGGGGGUAGCCGGCGUGAGAGGGUGUACGGCCACAGUGGGAGUGAGACGCGGCCGAGACCCCUACGGGGGGGAGGAGUGGAAUAUUUUGCAAUAUGGGCGCAAGCCUGAUGGAGCGACGGCGUGUGGGGGAUGAAGGCCUUCGGUGUGUAAACUUCUUUCGCGAGGGACGGAGCGUAAGUGACGGUACCUGGAUAAGAAGCACCGGCUAACUACGUG